rnacentral:rRNA from 1 species
GACGAACGCUGGCGGCGUGCUUAACACAUGCAAGUCGAACGGAAAGGCCCUGCUUUUGUGGGGUGCUCGAGUGGCGAACGGGUGAGUAACACGUGAGUAACCUGCCCUUGACUUUGGGAUAACUUCAGGAAACUGGGGCUAAUACCGGAUAGGAGCUCCUGCUGCAUGGUGGGGGUUGGAAAGUUUCGGCGGUUGGGGAUGGACUCGCGGCUUAUCAGCUUGUUGGUGGGGUAGUGGCUUACCAAGGCUUUGACGGGUAGCCGGCCUGAGAGGGUGACCGGCCACAUUGGGACUGAGAUACGGCCCAGACUGCUACGGGAGGCAGCAGUGGGGAAUAUUGCACAAUGGGCGGAAGCCUGAUGCAGCAACGCCGCGUGCGGGAUGACGGCCUUCGGGUUGUAAACCGCUUUCGCAUGUGACGAAGCGUGAGUGACGGUAAUGGGUAAAGAAGCACCGGCUAACUACGUG